AUUGAACGCUGGCGGCAUGCUUUACACAUGCAAGUCGAACGGUAACAGGCCGCAAGGUGCUGACGAGUGGCGAACGGGUGAGUAAUGCAUCGGAACGUGCCCAGUCGUGGGGGAUAACGCAGCGAAAGCUGCGCUAAUACCGCAUACGAUCUAUGGAUGAAAGCGGGGGACCGUAAGGCCUCGCGCGAUUGGAGCGGCCGAUGUCAGAUUAGGUAGUUGGUGGGGUAAAGGCUCACCAAGCCAACGAUCUGUAGCUGGUCUGAGAGGACGACCAGCCACACUGGGGCUGAGACACGGCCAAGACUCCUACGGGAGGCAGCAGUGGGGAAUUUUGGACAAUGGGCGCAAGCCUGAUCCAGCAAUGCCGCGUGCAGGAAGAAGGCCUUCGGGUUGUAAACUGCUUUCGUACGGAACGAGACGGUCCUGGUUAAUACCUGGGGCUAAUGGCGGUACCGUAAGAAUAAGCACCGGCUAACUACGUGCCAGCAGCCGCGGUAACAC
rnacentral:rRNA from 1 species